CCUCUCUAUUGGACAAGUCCUACUCUGUAGAGCCCCUAUCUGGAUUUGGGACUACUGAAGAGUCUUACAGUCUGAGUCCUGCUGGUCCUACUGACACAGGAGGAUAUGUGUGUAGAGCUGGGAGAGGAGACCCAGUCUAUUACACAGACUACAGUGAACCUCAGUUUCUCUGGUCAGGAGACACAGGGGACAGUGGAGUGUACUGGUGUGAGUCUGGAUCAGGACAGUACAGUAAUGCUGUCAACAUCACAGUGUCUGUUCCUGUAUCCUCUACAUCAGUCCUAGUAGGAGUGGUUGUGGGUCUGG
ensembl:lncRNA